rnacentral:rRNA from 1 species
ACGGGUGAGUAACGCGUGGUCAACCUACCGUUGAGUGGGGGAUAACUAGCCGAAAGGUUAGCUAAUACCGCAUACGUCUCCGAGGGGCAUCCCUUGGCGAUAAAAGGAGCAAUCCGCUCGAUGACGGGACCGCGUCCCAUUAGCUAGAUGGUGGGGUAACGGCCUACCAUGGCUCCGAUGGGCAGCUGGUUUGAGAGAGCGACCAGCCACACUGGGACUGAGAAACGGCCCAG